UACGAAGGGGGCUAGCGUUGUUCGGAAUCACUGGGCGUAAAGGGCGCGUAGGCGGCCGAUCAAGUCGGGGGUGAAAGCCUGUGGCUCAACCACAGAAUUGCCUUCGAUACUGUUUGGCUUGAGACCGGAAGAGGUAAGUGGAACUGCGAGUGUAGAGGUGAAAUUCGUAGAUAUUCGCAAGAACACCAGUGGCGAAGGCGGCUUACUGGUCCGGUUCUGGACGC
rnacentral:rRNA from 1 species